UACAUUCCAUGAUGUCCAGCACUGGGCUCUGAUCACUCCGGAGGACACAGUUUUCCCCAAGACCAUGGCUACCUGGGGAUCUGAGAGAAAA